rnacentral:rRNA from 1 species
ACGGAGGGUGCAAACGUUGCUCGGAAUCACUGGGCGUAAAGCGCACGUAGGCGGAUUCUUAAGUCAGGGGUGAAAUCCCGAGGCUCAACCUCGGAACUGCCUUUGAAACUGGAGAGCUAGAAUCUUGGAGAGGCGAGUGGAAUUCCGAGUGUAGAGGUGAAAUUCGUAGAUAUUCGGAAGAACACCAGUGGCGAAGGCGACUCGCUGGACAAGUAUUGACGCUGAGGUGCGAAAGCGUGGGGAGCAAACAGGA